rnacentral:lncRNA from 1 species
AUAAUCCGAAUCAUGAGAGUAGGGGUGUGCAUUCGGUUAUAUGGUUCGGUUUUUGCUAAAACCAAACCAAACCAUAUUUUAAUUCGGUUUGAAAAAAAAAACCGAACCGAACCGAAUUAACCGAAUAAACCGAACCGAAUUAACCGAAAUUUUCAUAGUUAAAACCGAACCGAACCGAAAAACCGAAUUAAUCCAAAAAAAAC